rnacentral:rRNA from 1 species
AUUGAACGCUGGCGGCAGGCCUAACACAUGCAAGUCGAACGGUAACAGGAAGAAGCUUGCUUCUUUGCUGACGAGUGGCGGACGGGUGAGUAAUGUCUGGGAAACUGCCUGAUGGAGGGGGAUAACUCUGGAAACGGUAGCUAAUACCGCAUAACGUCGCAAGACCAAAGAGGGGGACCUUCGGGCCUCUUGCCAUCGGAUGUGCCCAGAUGGGAUUAGCUAGUAGGUGGGGUAACGGCUCACCUAGGCGACGAUCCCUAGCUGGUCUGAGAGGAUGACCAGCCACACUGGAACUGAGACACGGUCCAGACUCCUACGGGAGGCAGCAGUGGGGAAUAUUGCACAAUGGGCGCAAGCCUGAUGCAGCCAUGCCGCGUGUAUGAAGAAGGCCUUCGGGUUGUAAAGUACUUUCAGCGGGGAGGAAGGGAGUAAAGUUAAUACCUUUGCUCAUUGACGUUACCCGCAGAAGAAGCACCGGCUAACUCCGUG